rnacentral:rRNA from 1 species
UACGUAGGGUGCAAGCGUUAAUCGGAAUUACUGGGCGUAAAGCGUGCGCAGGCGGUUUUGUAAGUCUGACGUGAAAUCCCCGGGCUCAACCUGGGAAUUGCGUUGGAGACUGCAAGGCUGGAGUCUGGCAGAGGGGGGUAGAAUUCCACGUGUAGCGGUGAAAUGCGUAGAUAUCAGGAGGAACACCGGUGGCGAAAGCGCUCAUCUGGCCCAAUACUGACGCUGAGGCGCGAAAGCUAGGGGAGCAAACGGG